UGGAAAGACUCAAGAUGGACUUCCAGUGU
rnacentral:piRNA from 1 species